rnacentral:rRNA from 1 species
AUGGAGGCGACGGCGGUGAGCCUGACCCGCACGGUCCUGGACGGGGUGCUGGGCAGCGCGGGGACGGCGAUGGCCGACGAGGCGGCGCUGCUGCUGGGCGUCCGGGGGGAGGUGGGCUUCAUCCGCAGCGAGCUGCAGAUGAUGCAGUCCUUCCUGCGGGUGCAGUCCUCCGCCACGCGCUGGGGCGCCGGCGGCGGGGGCUGCAGGGACACGGUGCGCACGUGCGUCAAGCAGGUGCGCGACCUCGCCCGCGACCUGGAGGACUGUCUCCUCGACUUCACCCUGCACGCCUCCCGUUCGCGCUGGCUGCGCUGGGGCCCCGGCCUCGCCGCCCGCCACCGCGUCGCCGGCCGGAUCCGGGGCCUCAAGGCCACCGUCGUGGAGCUCAACCAGCGCAACGAGCGGUACAACGUCUUCGCCGCCGCCAGCCACCACGGCGCCACGCCGGGGGAGGAGCACCACGGGCAGACCGACGACGACUACCCGCGCGCCCAGCUCGCGCCCGGGAGCGAGCGGCAGGACAUCGAGCGGGCCGGCGAGAUGGACGAGCUGGUCAAGCUGGUCAACAAGAUGGGCGACGCGUGGGUGGUGUCGGUGUGGGGCAUGGGCGGGAUGGGGAAGUCGUCGCUGGUGAGGAUGCUGUACAACGACAUGGCCCUCAUCGACGGCUUCGACGGCCGCGCCUGGGUCACCGUGCCGCACCCGCUGGAGAGCACCGACGAGGUGGAGCGCCGGCUCAGGAAGCAGCUCGGCGUGGCGCCCGACCGCACCAUCCGGGCCUGGCUGGAGGAGAACCGGUGCCUCGUCGUGGUGGACGACGUGUCGUCGCACGAGGAGUGGGAGCUCAUAUCGCGGUGCCUCCCCGCGAACGGCCCGACGGGCAGCCGGGUCGUGGUGACCACACGGCGAGACGACGUUGCCCGGCAGUGCGCGGGGGACGUGCGGGAGAACGUGUACGAGCUCAAGCCUCUCGAAGACGAGGAGGCCCGAAAACUGUUCUGUCAAAAGGUUUACAAGGAUGCUGGAUAUAAGUUAAUGGAUGAUAUGAUGGAGCAAGCUAAUCGUAUCUUAGAGCGAUGUCGGGGCCUUCCACUUGCUAUAGCCACCAUAGGAGGUUUAUUGGCUAACAGGCCCAAAACAAGCAGGGAAUGGAUGGAUUUGCGAAAGCAUCUUGGGUCAGAGCUAGAGUCAGACCGAGAUAUCAAAAGAGUUAUCACCUCAAGCUAUGAUGGGCUGCCAUAUCAUCUCAAGUGUUGCUUCUUGUACCUGAGUAUCUUCCCUGAGAACCAUGAGAUUAGGCUUACACGCUUAUUGCGGCGGUGGAUAGCAGAAGGCUAUAUAACAAAGCCACGUGACAUGAGCGUCGAGGAACUUGGACGGAGGUACUACAAUGAGCUCAUCAGUAGAAGUAUGAUCCAGCCUUCAGAGAAGGCCAGGGCUAGCAUGGCGGUUGAACGUUGCCGUGUUCAUGGCGUGGUGCUCCAAAUAAUAUUGUCCCAGUCUAUUGAGGAGAACCAACUCUUCAUCAUGGAUAAGCACUGCAAUGAGGCUCCACAAGGUAACAUACGCCACUUGGUAGUGACGAGAUGGAAGAAAAAUGAGAAGAUGGCAAGCCUAAACUUGUCUCAGGUACGCUCAUUGACAAUCUUUGGGAGGUGCCCUGUGUCCCUCAUCUCCUCCAAAUUGCACUUUUUGAGAGUUCUUGACUUGGAAGAUACACUUGAGUUAGAGAAUGAUGAUCUCAAGCACAUCGGGGAGCUGCACCAUUUAAGGUACCUUGGUCUGCGAAAGACAAACAUUUCGAGACUUCCUUCCUCUCUAGAGAACCUUAGGUUCCUAGAGACAUUAGAUGUUCAAGACACAAAGGUGACACAACUCCCAGUUGGUAUCACCAAGCUGGAGAAGCUAUGUCACCUUGUCGGUGGCGUCAACUUUGCCAAAGACUUGGCAGGGAAGACGAGGAAAAACAAGGAAGCAAGCAAAUGUAAUGGUGACCCCUUUGAAAUGUUGGCAGACUUGGUAACCGGGUGCUAUGGUUACAAGCAGGUUGAGCCUUCAUGCUCAUGUUGCACAUGUGAGUUUAGUGUAACAGCCCCUGAGAGAAUCGAGAAGCUAAGGAACCUACAAGUGCUAGGGGUGGUGCACAUUGCGCGUGGAAGCAAGGUGGCAAAGAACUUGGGGGAGCUGACUAGCUUGCGCAGAUUAGGAGUGGAUGUCGAUGCGACCGAGGAAGUAGGGAAGGACUUGUGCAGCUCAGUAUCAAGGCUUGUUCAUCUGGAACGGCUUGAAGUGCGCUCUAGGUCGCUUGAAUUUCUGAAGGAAGCAAAGAAAGCAGAGGAAAUGCCACCAAAGCAUCUCCUAUCACUGCGCCUGUGUGGCCGUUUGGGCAACCUCCCUGGCUGGAUGGAUCGUCUCAAGGAUCUGGCCAAGGUAAAGCUAAUUCAGACACAGUUGAAGCAGGUUGACGUCGAGGUGAUGGGGAAGCUGCGCAAUCUUACUCUUCUUGCACUCUGGGAGGAGUCCUUCGCCGAGAAGACGUUAUGUUUUGGGGAAGGUACAUUUCCGAAGCUCAAAUUGCUUUACAUUGAAGGGAUGGAGAACAUUGAGAGCAUACAAAUCAAGGAUGGUGCAUUGCCUCUGCUCGAGAAACUUGAAGUGAAGAAAUGCAUUAACUUGGACGACAGUAAGGAUGGCUUGUCCCUUGUGCUGGUCCUCCAAAACCUGAAUGAACUUGUCUUGACAAGUUGCGGCGACAAACCGAAGCUGGAGAAGGAACUUCAAAAGCAGAUUAGUGGAUUUAAGAAGCGCCCCAAGUUUAUUACUGGCAAGUCCAUUGUAUCUAGGAGUUAG